UACGGAGGGGGCUAGCGUUGUUCGGAAUUACUGGGCGUAAAGCGCACGUAGGCGGACUGUUAAGUCGGGGGUGAAAUCCUGCGGCUCAACCGCAGACGGUCGUGGGAAACUGGAAGGCUAGAGUGCGGGAGAGGAGAGUGGAAUUCCCGGUGUAGCGGUGAAAUGCGCAGAUAUCGGGAAGAACACCCGUGGCGAAGGCGGCUCUCUGGAACGCAACUGACGCUGAGACGCGAAAGCGUGGGGAGCAAACAGG
rnacentral:rRNA from 1 species